UACAGAGGGUGCGAGCGUUAAUCGGAAUUACUGGGCGUAAAGCGUGCGUAGACGGUCAUGUAAGCGGGUGUGAAAGCCCCGGGCUCAACCUGGGAAUUGCAUUCGAGACUGCAUGGCUAGGAUGCGGAAGAGGGAAGCGGAAUUUCCGGUGUAGCGGUGAAAUGCGUAGAUAUCGGAAGGAACACCAGUGGCGAAAGCGGCUUCCUGGUCCAGCAUCGACGUUCAGGCACGAAAGCGUGGGGAGCAAACAGG
rnacentral:rRNA from 1 species